rnacentral:rRNA from 1 species
AAGUGACGGUACCUGCAGAAGAAGCACCGGCUAACUAUGUGCCAGCAGCCGCGGUAAUACAUAGGGUGCAAGCGUUGUCCGGAAUUAUUGGGCGUAAAGAGCUCGUAGGUGGUUCGUCACGUCGGAUGUGAAAAUCUGGGGCUUAACCCCAGACCUGCAUUCGAUACGGGCGAGCUUGAGUAUGGUAGGGGAGUCUGGAAUUCCUGGUGUAGCGGUGGAAUGCGCAGAUAUCAGGAGGAACACCAAUGGCGAAGGCAGGACUCUGGGCCAUUACUGACACUGAGGAGCGAAAGCGUGGGGAGCGAACAGGAUUAGAUACCCUGGUAGUCCACGCCGUAAACGGUGGGCACUAGUUGUGGGGACCUUCCACGGUCUCUGCGACGCAGCUAACGCAUUAAGUGCCCCGCCUGGGGAGUACGAUCGCAAGAUUAAAACUCAAAUGAAUUGACGG